rnacentral:rRNA from 1 species
GACGAACGCUGGCGGCGUGCUUAACACAUGCAAGUCGAACGAUGAAGCAGAGAAACGCGCCCUUCGGUUCAAAUUUCACUUCGGAUUAGUGGCAGACGGGUGAGUAACGCGUGAGCAACCUACCUCUUACAAAGGGAUAGCCUCGGGAAACCGUGAUUAAUACCAUAUGACACAUUCAUAAGGCAUCUUAAGACUGUUAAAGCUACGGCGGUAAGAGAUGGGCUCGCGUCCCAUUAGCUAGUUGGUGAGGUAACGGCCCACCAAGGCGACGAUGGGUAACCGGCCUGAGAGGGUGAACGGUCACAUUGGAACUGAGACACGGUCCAAACUCCUACGGGAGGCAGCAGUGGGGAAUAUUGCACAAUGGAGGGAACUCUGAUGCAGCGACGCCGCGUGAGCGAUGAAGGAAUUCGUUUCGUAAAGCUCUGUUCUAUGGGAAGAAAAGGACUGUACCAUAGGAGAAAGCCCCGGCUAAAUACGUG